rnacentral:lncRNA from 1 species
CGAAUAAUAAAAAAACGUAAAUUUAUAGUCUUCUUCUCAUAAUAUAUUAAAAAUUCGCAUAAAAUGUUUAAGUAUACCCAAUUGUUUUCACCUUUCGUUGUAUUCUCUCAACCAUGAAUUCCUUUGUUAUUUCACUUUUUCUUUCUCUUAUUCCAUUGAAAAAUUUCUUUACGAUCUUACAUCUUUUAUCUUAAUAAAUCUCGUGCCUUAAAUAAAAAGAUAACAAAUUUUUCGCGAUUCAAGAAAAUUUCUACGAAUAAACGUUCAAAUAUUUAAUCUAUGUUCUUUCGAUUAUUCGGAUAACUACUUCAAUCAUACCUCCUUCAAAUAUGGAUGUUUGAGAACUUCCUUCAUGGAGCACGUGAUAGCCUAUUGGAUAAGUAUGCCUGAUUGACAACCUCUUUACGAGGUUACAAGCUAUCGUUUAUUCAAUGCUAUGUGAAACAGCACAAGGAGAGAACAGUUUAAAUCACUGGCAAAGAUACACCAGGUCGUUGCUCGAGUUUAUUGCUUCGAAGGGCAUAAAAAAUGCACAAAAAAAAUCUUUUAUAGAGUGGUAAUUUUGACACAAUGGUUUGAAUUGAAAUUAACGGUAGUUGAGUGCUGCAGUCUCCGAAAACGAGGACAUAUUAUGAUAGAUGUUCUUUUCUGCAACCAUAAUAAUGUU